rnacentral:rRNA from 1 species
GGCGAACGGGUGAGUAACACGUGGGUAAUCUGCCCUGCACUCUGGGAUAAGCCUGGGAAACUGGGUCUAAUACUGGAUAUGACCUUCCUCCUUAUGGGGUUUGGUGGAAAGUUUUUCGGUGUAGGAUGAGCCCGCGGCCUAUCAGCUUGUUGGUGGGGUGAUGGCCUACCAAGGCGACGACGGGUAGCCGGCCUGAGAGGGUGAUCGGCCACAUUGGGACUGAGAUACGGCCCAG